rnacentral:rRNA from 1 species
UNCCAUGUGUAGCGGUGAAAUGCGUAGAUAUAUGGAGGAACACCGGUGGCGAAAGCGGCUCUCUGGUCUGUAACUGACGCUGAGGCUCGAAAGCGUGGGGAGCGAACAGGAUUAGAUACCCUGGUANUCCACGCCGUAAACGAUGAGUGCUAGGUGUUGGAUCCUUUCCGGGAUUCAGUGCCGCAGCUAACGCAUUAAGCACUCCGCCUGGGGAGUACGACCGCAAGGUUGAAACUCAAAGGAAUUGACGGGGGCCCGCACAAGCGGUGGAGCGUGUGGUUUAAUUCGAAGCAACGCGAAGAACCUUACCAGGUCUUGACAUCCCGAUGCUAUUUCUAGAGAUAGGAAGUUACUUCGGUACAUCGGUGACAGGUGGUGCAUGGUUGUCGUCAGCUCGUGUCGUGAGAUGUUGGGUUAAGUCCCGCAACGAGCGCAACCCCUAUUGUUAGUUGCCAUCAUUCAGUUGGGCACUCUAGCGAGACUGCCGGUAAUAAACCGGAGGAAGGUGGGGAUGACGUCAAAUCAUCAUGCCCCUUAUGACCUGGGCUACACACGUGCUACAAUGGUUGGUACAACGAGUUGCGAGUCGGUGACGGCGAGCUAAUCUCUUAAAGCCAAUCUCAGUUCGGAUUGCAGGCUGCAACUCGCCUACAUGAAGUCGGAAUCGCUAGUAAUCGCGGAUCAGCACGCCGCGGUGAAUACGUUCCCGGGCCUUGUACACACCGCCCGUCACACCACGAGAGUUUGUAACACCCGAAGUC